rnacentral:rRNA from 1 species
CUGGGGAGUACGGUCGCAAGGUUAAACUCAAAGGAAUUGACGGGGGCCGCACAAGCGGUGGAGCAUGUGGUUUAAUUCGAAGCAACGCGAAGAACCUUACCAGCUCUUGACUUACCAAUCGCGAUUGGGAGACCCUUCCUUCAGUUCGGCUGGAUUGGAUACAGGUGCUGCAUGGCUGUCGUCAGCUCGUGUCGUAGAGUGUUGGGUUAAGUCCCGCAACGAGCGCAACCCUGCCCUUAGUUACCAUCAUUAAGUUGGUACUCUAGGGGACUGCCGGUGACAAGCCGGAGGAAGGUGGGGAUGACGUCAAGUCAUCAUCCGGUUACGGGCUGGGCUACACACGUGCUACAAUGGCGGUGACAGUGGGCAGCGAUGGGGCGACCCUGAGCUAAUCUCCAAAAACCGUCUCAGUUCGGAUUGUUCUCUGCAACUCGAGAGCAUGAAGUCGGAAUCGCUAGUAAUCGCGUAUCAGCAUGACGCGGUGAAUACGUUCCCGGGCCUU